CUUGACUUGACAACCACGUCUUCUAUCGACAGGGUAAGUAUGAGGACCUCACUGUUCUCUGGACUGUCAGUGGAUCUGUCAUUCUUCAAGGAAGCCUUCUGCCAAAUCUCAUUGAGUAGGAACAAUAGCUUUCCAGAUUUGUGACCGGAGAGGUCAAGGCAGGCUUCCUCAACCUCAGCCCUCCAGAUGUUUUGAGACUACAAUUCCCAUCAUUUCUGACCACUGGUCCUGCUAGCUAGGGAUCAUGGGAGUUGUAGGCCAAAAACAUCUGGAGGGCCGAGCUUGAGGAAGCCUGGGUCAAGGGCUGCUAGUCAUGAUGGCUAUGUUCUACCACAUCUGGUGAGGGCUGUAUGCCCCUGAAUACCAGUUACUGGGAAGCGCAAGUGGGGAGGUGCCGUUGUACCCAGGCCCUGCUUCUAGCCUUCCCAUUGUGGCAUCCGGUUGGCCACUAUGAGAACAGGAUGUUGGACAAGAUGGGCUACCUUUGGCAUGAUGCAGCAGAGCUCUCCUGACAUUCUUAUAGGAUCAGGCAAAUUUAUGGAGAAUGAGGGUGUCAAUGGCUCCUUGAAACCCUGAUGACUAUGCCCUACCGCUACUGUCUGAAGUGGUAUGCCUCUGAACAUGAGUUACUGGAAAUCACAGGUGGACAGACUGUCACUACACUGAGGAGCUGCUUAUAGGCUCCCCAAGAAGCAUCUGGCCAUUGUGAGAACAGGAUGUUGGCCUAGAUGGGUUUUUGUCAGAAUCCAGCAGGCUCUUUAUUUGUUCCUAUGGUGAUAUUUAACUGAACCAAAUUCAAGAUGCUUGCGAUAAGUUAUAAACUCAUUCACAGCUAGGGGCUUAGAUACUUGGGCUCCCAACUUUCAUCAUCCAAAGCCAGCCUGACCAAAGGUAAAAGGUGAUGGGAAUUGUAUUCCAUCCUGAUGGAAUGACUGCUGUACAUAAUAGUGGUGGGAUGAGCCUGAUAGAACUGGUCCUUUAGCAAAGAAAGCAAAGAGGCCAUGCAGACCCAUCUCUCCCCUACUGCACUAUGGGGCCCUUGCCCCUCUUAGUCAAACUGUUGGUCAAUCUCACCUAGCUUUUCCUCCUUUGACUGGUUGUGGCUGUCUAGGAGUCUUUGGCUGAGGCAAAUCUAUGCUGGAGAUGCUAAUUACUCAACUGAGUGGGGCUUUACUACUGAGUAUUGCAAUUUCCCCAUAGAGUUAGCAUUUUUGUGGGCGCUUGAUUGCUGUCUUUACAUGGCUGUAAAAUCAGGAUUUACUGUAGGGUUUUAUAGCAUUUCUUAAUGUGUGUGCCUGGUUAAACUGGCAGGACAAGGAACCCGUGGCACCUUAGAACUUGUUGGACUCCAACUCCCAUCAACCACUGGCCAGCAUGACCAAUGGUCAGGAUGAUGGGAGUUGUAGUUCGACAAUAUUUUUGGACUCCAACUCCCAGCAGCCCCAGUCAGGAUGGUCAAUGGUUGUGAGUAAUUGGAGUUGUGGUUCAGCCAUGACCAACCACCAGAGAAGAUCAGAGGUUCCUGAGCCCUGGUCUAAGUGUUUUUGUGGAAUGCUUAAGGGAGGGGCUGUUAUUGUAUAAGGAAAGGAAUUUGUACAAGGGGGGGGGAGUUGCAUGAAAAAAAUACCCAGGUUUGUAUUUCCAAGCCAAUUCAGGUUGUGUUACAGGAGGUUACAGACCUCCUCUGAGUUAAAUUCCUCAGACUAAAUGUGUCCGCAUACUGAAAGUAAUCUCACAACAGAGUGUUUCUUCUUGGACAGGAAGGAAUUGUCCUCUUUCGAGUAUACUGAAUGGCUAUCCUGGGGAAGCCUUGUUGCACUGUGGUUAAGAGGGGGCCCAAUCUUGAUUUUUGAAAACACAAUUGAAAACUUGAGUUCCUGACUUGGCAACCCUACUGGUCUAGACAAAUAUUCAUAUCAGAGGUGGGGAGCUUUUGGAUCUCCAGAUGUUGUCGGACUCUUCUCGCAUCUCUAGCUAGCAUGGCCAAUGGAAGAAGGAAAAUGAGAGUUCUAGACCAACAACAUCUGGAGGAUCACAUACCUGCCUUACAGAAUACCCCAAAUGCUGCUCCCUUGGAGAAACUGGAUCAAAAAAUGACAUUGGUCUUUCUCUCUCUCUCUCCCCAGAAGUUCUCAAAGCCAUAGCAAAGAUGAGUCAACAACGACAACAACAAGGAGGCUGUUGUGGUGGUGGUGGUGGCCAUGGAGGUGGUGGCUGUUGCGGCGGUGGUGGUGGUGGUGGAUCAUCUCAACAAAGCCAGAGGAGUGGAGGAUGUUGCCGUGGUGGUGGUGGAGGAGGAGGUGGAGGAGGAUGCUGUGGUGGCCGUGGAGGUGGAUCUUCUCAACAAAGCCAAAGCAGCGGUGGAUGUUGCGGUGGCAGAAGCAGCGGUCAAAGUAGCGGUGGAAGCAGCGGCGGAUGUUGCGGUGGUGGAAGCAGUGGUGGAAGCAGUGGCGGAUGUGGUGGUGGUGGAAGUUCUCAGCAGAUGAAGAUGAAGUAGAUGCCUCCAAGAAGUGCUGAAAUCCCACUCCACAAUGACCACCACCCUCUUGAAGAUCUCCUGGUUAUUGUCUCCUCCCGAUGAUGAACCAGACCUUCCUCCAGAGGGGGAAGCAUAGUAUUUCAUUUUCCUG